rnacentral:rRNA from 1 species
AGUGAACGCUGGCGGCGUGCCUAACACAUGCAAGUCGAACGAUGAUGGAGAGCUUGCUCUCCUGAUUAGUGGCGCACGGGUGAGUAUACCAUAGAUAAUGUACCUCUUAGUUCGGGAUAGCCACUGGAAACGGUGAUUAAUACCGGAUACUCCUUCUUGUCUUAAGGCAAGUCGGGAAAGUAUUUUCGCUAAGAGAUCAGUCUAUGUCCUAUCAGCUAGUUGGUGAGGUAAUGGCUCACCAAGGCAAUGACGGGUAACUGGUUUGAGAGGAUGAUCAGACACACUGGAACUAAGACACGGUCCAGACUCCUACGGGAGGCAGCAGUGAGGAAUAUUGCACAAUGGAGGAAACACUGAUGCAGCAACGCCGCGUGAAGGAUGACGCAUUUCGGUGUGUAAACUCCUUUUAAGAGGGAAGAUAAUGACGGUACCUCUUGAAUAAGCACCGGCUAACUCCGUGCCAGCAGCCGCAGUAACAC